AACGAACGCUGGCGGCAGGCCUAACACAUGCAAGUCGAGCGCGCCUUCGGGUGAGCGGCGGACGGGUGAGUAACGCGUGGGAAUAAGCCCUUCUCUACGGAAUAGCCCUGGGAGACUGGGGGUAAUACCGCAUACGCUCUUUGGGGGAAAGAUUUAUCGGGGAAGGAUUAGUCCGCGUUGGAUUAGGUAGUUGGUGGGGUAAUGGCCUACCACGCCGACGAUCCAUAGCUGGGUUGUGAGGAUGGUCAGCCACCCUGGGACUGAGACACGGCGCAGACUCCUACGGGAUGCAGCAGUGGGGGAUCUUGGACAAUGGGGGCAACGCUGAUCGAGCCAUGCCGCGUGAGUGAUGAAGGCCGGAGGGUUGUAAAGCUCGUGCAGCUGGGAAGAUAAUGACGGUACCAGCAGAAGAAGCCCCGGCUAACUCCGUG
rnacentral:rRNA from 1 species